AAAAGGGGGCAAAGGAUUCAGACCACGUUACUUGUUUGCUAUAGAUAUAAACCUUAGCUAUGUUUACUACGAUUUUAAUUCGUAGCUAAAAGGUUGCCACACCAUUAAUAAUUAACAGUGGCGUAAGGGGCUCUAUAGGGCCUAUAAAAAUAUAUAUAUUAUAUCUAAGUCGUCCAUAUAUUUUUAAAUAUUGUUUUAGGGCAUGAAACAAAAACGUAACUAGAUCGAAGGCUCAAGUGGACCACACGGUAGGAAACAUGAAGAUUAAAUAACAUGUGCUUCCUAUGGUGUGGUCCACUUGGGCCUUCAAUAUAUUUUAAUUUUGGCAACAAGAACUAAAAUUAUUUAUAAAAAUUCAUGGACGGAAUGGAUAAACCAAAUACAACAUGGUGGGCCCCACGAAGCCCUUGACAGGACCGUCCAUGGAUCCGUCUACCCAAUCGACGCCCAAAAAUGGGCGCGCACUCAAAACAGAGCCGCGCCCAAAAAAUCGCUCUCUCUCUCUCUCUCUCCGUUCUCAAACCCUAACUCUCCCGAUCUCUACUCCAUCUCUCUCAUCUUCCUCCCUUUCUCUCUCUGUUCCCCAUUCUUCUCUCUCUCUUCGUUCCCGAACCCCCUCUCUCUCUCUCAAUCUUUGCUCCACUCUCUUAUUCUCCUCUCUCUCUCUCUCUCUCCCUUUCAAUGACUGGAAUUUAGGGAUGGUACUCUCUCUCUCUCUCUCCAUCUUUGUCUCUCUCACUUUCUCUUUCAAUGGCUGGAAUUUAGGCAGUAGCCAUGGCAGUAGCAGCCAUAUCCAUUGUUGUCGAUGGCCACCGACAAUUUUAUGUUAGUUGUUUGAAGAAAUGCUUCAAUUAAGAACCUUCAUGGAUAAAACCAUGUUACAGGUCCUCUGCUUCAAGUAAGAACCUUUCUGAUCUAUUACUAUGAGAUCUAUUGAUUCAGGGCUGUAGAUCUAUUCCUAUGGGAUCUAUUGAUUCAAGGAUGUAGAUCUAUUCUUAUGGGAUCAAUUCCAGAUAUAGGGUUUGUAUGUAGAUCUGUUGCUUAUUCAACUUCUAUAGUUCUCUUAUUUAUUGAUUGUGGAGGUACUGAUUUUUUUAUUUUUUAUUUUGUAAGAAUGAUUGAUAAAUUUCUAAUGGCUAUUUCUCCUAUUACUUUGGUGUUAACAUUGUUUGAUUUUCUCUGUAGCCUGACUUGUUUUGCUUGCAGGAACUUACGAGAUCCCUAUCUUGUGGGGACAUUGGCACCUGAGCUAGGAAGCCUCCUCGCAUUAGAUCUUUGUAAUGGCACAUAUCGGUGAUGAAUGUCACACUACUCGAUACACAUUUAGAGCCUUGCCCCUAAUGCUUUUCUUUUAACAGUACUUUGGCCUUAGAGAGGAACAAGUGUACUCAUCAUCAUAUAAACCAAUGAUGGCCAUAAAUAUCUUAAGCCAAAUCUACAACCAGAACAUAUUGCACCUUGGUUGAAGGAGUAUACGGAUGGAAACAUAAAGACAUGUUUGUGAAAUCUGUGCCUAUUCCUGAAGUCAACAAUUUCCAUGUCAAGAUUGUUGUUGCUAAUAGCCUCCAUGAUGUGGUUUUCAACUCUGAAAAAAAUGGUUGGCAAGGGAAGAGAUGUUGGACCGAAUCAAAUUACUCUGUUUGAGGGGAAAGUGGCUGGUGGUAAUGGUGAACAAGUUAACUUAGCAGGGAUGUUUCUAGGCUUCUAUGUGCAGAUUCGUUUUGGGGUUCAUCUUUGGUUAUAUUUUAGGGAAGAAGCUUCUCGGGUAUGGCUAAUUAUCUCAUUUCUUGAUCAUUCUGUGAAAAUCUUGCAAAAUUUCAAGAGUUCUUGUUUGUCUUUGUAAACUUCUAAUGGUUGGAUAAAAAUGUAACUGCAUGAAAACAUUCAAACCUGAAAUAUCAUGUCCCUUCCCUAUAAACACAUCAUUCUGCAAGCAUUGGGAGCGGCGCUUGUGAUUAUUUUCAUGCUUUUGCUAGCAAUCCUUUCCCGGCCCACUAGUUGGUGGAAAUACUGCAACCAUAAAUAAAUGGACUGAUGAUAGGAUUGCAAACUGCCAAUCUCCCAACAUGGACUUCAUAAAGGGGGAGCUUUUGAGGUUGCUUCUUUCUCUGCUGAAAAUAUAUUGUCAACAUUAUGGAAAAUUACGAUCCCCAUUCGGUGUGGACUCAGCAUUACUGGUAAAGUAGAUCAGUUUGUUUUUAAGCAUGUCAUCAUACAGUAAUACAAUUCAUUCAAUCCAAGAAUAUGGUAACAGUUGGAUGUCACCUCAUUUACUUGGAUGUCACAAGAUACCACAAUCUACACAGUUCUAUUUCAAUCCAAGAAUAUGGUUAUAAAACUGAUGCUUCAAUCACCACUAUUUUUAAUGGUCAAUCACCACUGUUUUUUGCUUGUAUGGUCAACCAGAGAUUUGGAUCUGCUUCAUUUGAGGUUUAUGCCCUAAAAUGAGAUGUCAAAACGGAUGAA